AGCAGCCGCGGUAAUUCCAGCUCCAAUAGCGUAUAUUAAAGUUGUUGCAGUUAAAAAGCUCGUAGUUGAAUUUCGGGAUUGGCGCAUCGGUCGUGCCUCACGGGGUAUGAACUGGUGCAGUCAAUUUCUCACCUUCUGGAGAACCGCGAUGUCCUUAAUUGGAUGCCGCGGGGAACCAGGACCUUUACUUUGAAAAAUUAGAGUGUUUAAAGCAGGCAUUUUUGCUUGAAUACAUUAGCAUGGAAUAAUAAAAUAGGACGGCAUGGUUCUAUUUUGUUGGUUUCUAGGACCACCGUAAUGAUUAAUAGGGAUAGUUGGGGGCAUUAGUAUUCAAUUGUCAGAGGUGAAAUUCUUGGAUUUAUUGAAGACUAACUACUGCGAAAGCAUUUGCCAAGGAUGUUUUCAUUAAUCAAGAACGAAAGUUAGGGGAUCGAAGACGAUCAGAUACCGUCGUAGUCUUAACCAUAAACUAUGCCGACUAGGAAUCAGACGAUGUUAAUUUUUAAUAGUACUCGUUUGG
rnacentral:misc_RNA from 1 species